AAGAGGUGCAAUGUCAAACAGCUCAGCGAGAGCAGAGUCCCCCCUUAACUGAGCGACAAGUUACUUUUUACGAUUAUUUACUUUGUUAGCAAAAUUUCUUGUCACAAGUAGCACCUUCAGUGCUGAAGCAGCAUUAAGCCGUCUAGUCAGAAGAAGUGUCUCCAGAGGAUAUCUAUUUUUGGAGGGUUUGUCUGAGAGUUCCUUUCAGGCCAGCUGCAGACAGCGAGAGCAAGAUCCACUAAACCAAAGCAGCUGUUCCAUUUCUAUCCCACCCCACAAUAUGAGGUAGAGGACUUGGGUUUAGGGUCAUUAAUGCUCACACCUGUUGAAACCCGACCCACAGCUGCACCAGUCGCCCACGAGUAAUCGGAGAUGGAGAAAGGUGGACAGGCAUAUCUUUAGACAGGAACAAGCAACAGCUCCAUGGAAAGAAACACCCAUUACAAUUCUAUUCUGGACAGAAACAAGCGUAUCGCAUGGCAAGAGGACUGCUAUGUUGACCUCCAGUCUACCCCCACCUCAACUUCCACCAAGGGAGAGAUGGAAGAUGUGGGCUGGAUCCAGAAACAUCAGGGGCAUCUGCAGCGCUUCAUUACCACUCCCCUCCUGGAGGGGGCGCUGUCCCACAUGAGGAAGCUGGAGCUGCUGAGCCAGGGUGAGGAGGCCCAGGUACAGGCUGGGGGGCAGCUGCAGGAGCGGGUGGGCACCCUCACCUCCAUCCUGGCCAGCAUGGACCCCCAGGGCUCCAACGCUCUCCAGGCCUUCCUUGAGAACUCUGACUCCCAGAUGUACCGGCUUAUCACGAUGCACGACCCCAUGGUUCAGGAGCACAAGGAGGCUCUUCUGUUGCAGUAUCCCACACCAAGUGACAGCCUCUCCCCUGGCCCCUGUAGCCCAGAAUUCUCCUCCUCCAGAAUCUUGCUCCUGGUCGACGGCCUCUCGGACCUCCAGCAGAAGGAGCACGACCUCAUGCAGGUGGAGGCCACCCGUGGGGCGCGGAGACACCACGUCAGACAGCUGGCCCUGGCCAAACUCCUGGAGCCCCUCACACGGGUCAGCCUGCCCCCCAGGGUCUCCCUCACCGUGGGAGUGGCCGGCAUCGGCAAGAGCACCCUUGUGGGACAUUUUGUACGCCUUUGGAGCAGAGGCGAGAUCUGCACGGACGUGAGUUUUGUCUUGCCCUUUGCCUUCUGGGAGCUGAACACUGGGGAGAAGCUGUCGGCCGAAAGACUGGUGAAGCUGGCCUUCCCUCACAUGACGGACCCCAGCCUGGUGCUGAGUGGUACAUGUCGGACAUUGCUGAUUUUCGACGGUCUGGACGAGUUCCGUUGUCCUCUGGACUUCUCGGAGACUGUGCCUUGCACAGACCCCAAGAAGGAGGUGUCGGUGGACGACUUGGUCACCAACAUCAUCCGGGGCAACCUGCUCCCUGAAGCAGCGGUGUGGGUGACCUCCAGGCCGGCGGUGGCCUCGUUGAUUCCUGGGGGACUAGUGGACAGGUUGACCGAGAUCCCCGGAUUCAGCCCGAAGGAAAUCCGGCUGUUCCUGAGCCACAACUUCCCUAAGGGAGAUACUGCCAGUCAGAUAUGGACUCACUUGGAGUCCAACAAGAUCUUCAUGGUGAUGUCUUACAUGCCUUGCAUUUGCUGGAUAGUGGCGGUUACCUUUGGGUACCUGUUGGAGAGUGGCUGGCAGGAGGGUCUUCCCAGGACCUGCACUGAGCUCUACUCCCACUUCUGCGCUAUGAGAGCCGAAGCAGGUGAGCCCAGAGGCAGAGAGCCUAUCAAGAUGGACCAGCUUAACGGGAACAACCGCAAGCUGCUGGGAAGUCUGGGCCGACUGGCCUUCUACGGACUUCUGAAGCACAAAUACACCUUCAGUGAGCAGGACAUGAGGGCCUAUGGAGUAGACCUUCCAUCCACCCAGGGUGGCCUAGGAACUGGAGUACUGAUCCGCGAGGAUUCCCCGAAUUGUGUGGCCUACCGCUUCACCCACCUGACUGUGCAGGAGUUCUUAGCAGCCACAUACUACCACAUCUGCUCCAAACGUGCCAUCUUUGACCUGUUCACCGAGAGCGCCAUGUCCUGGCCCAAGAUCGGCUUCCAGAACCACUUCAGGAGCGCCCUGCAGCGGUCCCAGCAGGCAGAGGAUGGUCACCUGGACGUGUUUGUGCGGUUCCUGGCGGGGUUGCUGUGUCCAGCGGCAGUGCGGCCGCUGGCAGGCCUGCUGGCCCAGGGGAAGGACGAUGGGGGCCAAAGGGUUUGGGCGGCUGGGCUGCUGCAGGACCUCCUGGGCAGCGGUGGUGCUGUGGUGUCACUACGCUCAGUGAACGUGGCCUACUGCCUGCAGGAGCUGCAGCAUACAGAGGUGCUACGCAGCGUGGAGGAGGACCUGCGCUGUGGUGGCCUGGGAGGGAAGCUGACACGGACACACUGCACAGCGCUGGCCUACCUGCUACAGGUGUCUCCAGAGUGCAGCGAGGAGAUCAACCUGUCGGCAUGUCUGGACUACUCCACUGUAAAAAGCUUGCUGCCUCAGCUGCUCUACUGCAGCCAUCUCAGAUUGGAAAAUAACCAUUUUAAAGAUGAUGUCAUGGAACUGCUGGGAAGCUUACUGAGUGCAAAGGACUGCCACCUUCAGAAGAUAAGUCUGGCAGAGAACGCUAUCAGCAACAAAGGGGCCAAGGCCCUGAGUCGAGCACUACUGGUUAACCGGACGCUAAUUACGCUUGAUCUCCGUAGCAACAACAUUGGAUCUAAAGGCGCCAAGUUUCUAGCAGAAGCCCUCAAAAUGAAUCAGGUCCUGGUGUCCAUCAAUUUCCAAAAUAAUCUCAUUGAGGAGGAGGGCGCUCGCGCCCUGGCUGAGGUGCUUCUGUCCAACCGCAAACUUGUCUCGCUGAAUGUACAGAAGAAUUGUAUUGGAGCAGAUGGAGCCAAGAGGAUUGCAGAAGCGCUAAAGACAAACCGGACACUUACAGAACUGAUUCUGAGCAGUAACCAGCUGGGGGACAAAGGCACUGCAGCCCUGGCCCAGGCCCUGACCGUCAACCACAGCCUCCACUCGCUGCACCUGCAGAGUAACUCCAUCAGUAACAAAGGGAUGACUGCGUUAACCAAGGCUCUGCGGUUGAACCGUGGACUCAUCUGUCUGAACCUGCGUGAGAACUCGAUCGGGGUGGAGGGGGCGAAGGAUAUGGCCAGGGCACUGCAGGAGAACAGCUCUCUCCGACACCUGGAUCUUACAGCCAACCUGCUGCACGAUGAGGGGGUGAAAGCCAUAGCUGGAGCUGUGAAGGUCAACCGAGCACUUACUACUUUACGUCUCCAGUGGAAUUUCAUCAAGUGCACAGCCACUAAAUCCUUGGCCCAAGCUCUACUCACCAACUCCACCAUGCAGCUACUAGAUCUACAGGAAAAUGCCAUUGGGGAUGAAGGAGUGGUAGCUCUGGCAGGAGCCCUGAAGACCAAUGCGUCUCUCUGUGCAUUGUGUCUCCAGGGCGUAUCAGCAGGCAGGAGUGGUGCCAUCUCAAUGGCCGAGGCUCUAAUGGUCAACAAAACCCUGCACACUCUGGACCUACGAGGGAACUCCAUAGGGAUGGAGGGAGCCAAGGCUUUGGCUAAUGCACUGAAGACAAACAGAACACUCAAAUCAUUAAAUCUGCAGGAGAACUCUCUGGGAAUGGAUGGAGCCAUAUUCAUCGCCACAGCCCUGAAAGGAAACCACCAGCUAACUUAUAUAAACUUGCAGGGGAACGGCAUCGGAGAGUCGGGAGCAAAGGUCAUCUCUGAUGCCAUCAGAACCAACUCUCCAGACUGUGUGGUGGAGAUCUGACCUCAAGGGACGCCAGAGGUCAAAGGCCAUCGGUCCCCAGGCCCCCUGACGUCUAUGGUACCAACCAAAUACAACCCUAUGACUGAGGAGGACGCUCGCUCACCUCAAACCUCUCCUGCUCCAGUCUAUGGUAGUCCUCCAGCUGCUGCUCCAGGAAGCUCAGGUUACGGAACUUCUCCACGUAGGUCUCGUACUGCUUCUGCAGGUCCUCCUCAAUCUUUUCAUACUCAUCCAUGAAUGCUGGCCUGGGAGAGGAACAGGCAGUAUGGAUAUGGAUGGAAAGUUCAUUAUUCUGGACAGGAAGGUGGCCAACCUGCACUCUGCUGGGCAUGACUUACUCUAUGGCGCAGAGGCAUGUCAGAUGAGUAUCCUCCAUCACCUAUUGGAGGGGGUUCUUUCUCUCCCAAUCAUCCAGCGCCCCACUGUUCCAGGUGACUCACUAACUGGGCUUCUGAAUAAUAGCCCUACAACAGAGGCAAGGAGGAAUACCAGUACCCGAGGAAUCCUGAUGGCACUUCCCUACUACCCUCAGAAAUUCAAAUCCUGGGUAGUCUCGAAACAAGCUGGGUCUGAGUGGAACUGGGUUGCUGUGGAGAGCCGGUGUGGAGGCCGGCGGGAUGCUUCUCAGGUUUUCAACCAAUGAGGGGAGAGGGUGGAGGCCAGUGCACAGGCCAAUGGAGGAUCUCGGACUAUGACUACGAAGACAGUCCCAGUCUAGAAAAAGGCUCUGGACAACAGGGAGGACAAGGAGGGGGCAGAGAGGGCCCAGCAGAGGAAGAGAAAAGCUUCAAAGGGCGGCUUUGAGGACUCCGCCUCCUCCAGGAAGCACCCAAUGUGGUUGUAAAGAGAAAAGUGGGUGUGGUCAGAUGGGCAAGCAAGCACUUGGCCUACCUGUUUAAAGAUAUUCUCCGGUACUUCUAUAUUAUUUAGCCUGUAGUUCUGAAAUUAGCACCCACGAGCCAAAAGUGGUCCCCAAAAAGUGUGUACUACGUCACAAAUGUGCAGAUAUGUGCACCACGUCAUUGCUCUCUCGCUGCUGUGUGUGUGUCUUGCUAGCUGCCACUCAAAUGGUGAGGGGUUGAAGCUUGUUGGCUGAAACUCAAAUUGCUAGGUGGCUGGCCCACACGGGGGUAAAUCUAGGGGAAAUGGCGCCGCUCAGUUUCCAGAAAACAGUCGCUUUCAAACUAGGGAUUUUGUGGCUAAUUGAGGUAAAACAGUAAUUCUGCUUAUAGAUUAAGCAUGCAUGAACUACACAUUGACACAUCCAGCCCAAACCGGGAGGUUUAAAAAAAAUACUUCCUAGUCGCCAAAGUACCGGAGCAUGUCUUUAAGAUGCACUACACCAGCAUCCAGGGAUCCUCCAGUUAAACAGCUCCUCUGAUGUAUAUUACCUUACAUAAAACAACUGAAAUGUUUUUGUUGCAACUUUGCCAAAGUGUGCGCUGUCCUUUUUUACUCAAUUAUUCGAUUGUUUCUUGGGUUUUACAACCCUGCUAUAAUUUGUUAUUUUUUUUGGCUUGUGAGAACAGAGUUGAGCACAUUCCAUCUAUAUCUAUGAUGUUUUGGUCACAUCAAGUGUUAGAGCAUAGAAAAACAAAUCCACCUUAAUCAAUGUGCUACCAUACUACUUGCUGUCUGGAUUUGUCUCUUACAAUGUCUUUAAAAACACCCACACCAGUAGAAAUCCACUUUUUCGCGCUGAAAGAUGACGGCAAGAGCUUACCCAUGAUGUUGCACAAAGAUUUAAGUCAAUAAGUAAUCGUUUUAGCCCAAGUAUGAUAUAUUUGGCCUUGAAGUGACAAAUCCGAACUGCCCACUUCAUGCAAAUCUGUGUGAAUGAUAUGACAUACACAUACUUUUCAGCUUACGUUUUGUUUAAGGGCUGGGUUUUAUUUGAAUGUUACCACCCACCAGCAUGGCAUUGUUUAUUAAAUCAGAAACAGCUGCAAAUGAGAUGAGGCAAAUAGCCUUGUGUCCACUUGGCCACCUGAGCCGUGGAGCAAAUUAAAAUAGUAUUAUUUUGCACCUCCACAAGUGUCUAUCCAGAUAAUGAAAAGGCACCCACAAAAUAAAAUUUAAGGAACUUA